GCCGGGCACGGUGGCGUGUGCCUGUAAUCCCAGCUACUCAGGAGGCUGAGGCAGGAGAAUCGCUUGAAGCCAGGAGGCAGAGGUUGCAGUGAGCCGAGAUCGUGCCACUGCACUCCAGCCUGGGUGACAGAGCAAGACUCCGUCUCAA
rnacentral:SRP_RNA from 1 species